GGCUCGAACGGCAGAGGAACAAUCCAGAGAUGGUGCGGCCCUUCGGGGCUUCUGUCGAGGUGCUGCAUGGUUGUCGUCAGCUCGUGCCGUGAGGUGUCGGCUCAAGUGCCAUAACGAGCGCAACCCUUGCCGUCAGUUACCAGCACGUCAUGGUGGGGACUCUGGCGGGACUGCCACCGCAAGGUGAGAGGAAGGGGGGGAUGACGUCAAAUCAGCACGGCCCUUACGUCCGGGGCGACACACGUGUUACAAUGGGCGCUACAGAGGGAAUCUACUUGGUGACAAGAUGGUAAUCUCGAAAAGCGCUCUCAGUCCGGAUCGGAGUCUGCAACUCGACUCCGUGAAGCUGGAUUCGCUAGUAAUCGCGCAUCAGCCAUGGCGCGGUGAAUACGUUCCCGGGCCUUGUACACACCGCCCGUCAAGCCAUGAAAGUCUGGGGCGCCUGAAGUCCGUGACCGAAAGGAGCGGCCAAGGGCGAAACAGGUAAUUGGGGCUAAGUCGUAACAAGGUAAC
rnacentral:rRNA from 1 species